CCUCUCUAUGAAGCAUUGAAUCAAAGCAGGGUUAUAGAAUACUUUCACCGUGAAUGUGCUAUUACUUCCGUCUAUCCGUCUAUAACAGGCCCUCUCCUGUGUCUCAGUUUAUUCUACUUUUCUGAUCUUUAUUUACAGCCUUCACACAGCACGUUGUUAUCUGCAUUGAACCUUACUCUCAGAGGACAAGCAAAAAGCCUUAAUAAUCUUUAUUUUACCUUCAUUAUAGCCUUGGAGUAGGCUGCCGGCUACCAGACAGUGUGUGUGUGAAUAAUGUAGGGUUCUGGAACAAAGUUCUAUAGAUGGUGGAUCCAAAGAUUAAUCAGUAGAAGAUCAAAGAAGAGGGGCUUAAUAAACCUGCCUCCUAAGCCACAGCCACUCACUCCAGAAAUUAUUCCUUAGUUUAUGUACGCAACUCAGCCCCUAAUAGAAAUUUUACGGAAAUGACGAAAGGUGAGACUGUAUUCUUCAUUCUUUGCCUGACCAUACUGAAACAGUAAGAAAAUAAAAUUCAACGAUUCCAGGCAAACUGUGUGAUUUUAUAAACCCCCAAAAUAAAAUAGGCAAUGUAUUGGAAAGAGAGAGAAACUGUAGCACAAAAUAGUUUUACUAAUUACAUCUCCCCAGUUGUGGUGCAAAAUGUUAACCUGAACAUUGAGUGGGUGGUUAUAGGGUGUUUGACCACAUGCGAUGGAGAACGGGUGUAGAGCAUCAUUUAACCAUUUUGCAGAUAACAAGUGGGGUACAGUCUUUGUCCUAGGAUAGAUACCCAGUCCAUUUAUAUAGAUAAUGCACACAGAGCUGUUCACGUUGGAUUAGCAGUAGGCGUUUGUGAUGUCUUAGUCUGACCAUGGAAUAUUAGAAGCUAGAUACAGUUUUUAUGUUGUAGGUGGGCAUUUAGUCUUUGUCUUGCUGAUCAGUAUCAGAGUGUACAUGGAGGUUGCUCUUCUUUUGCCAUCUUCUUUAGAGCCUCCAAAUUGAAAGACAUCACUUGGUAACCAGGGUCCUCGGUAAGGCUCUCCGCACCUAGAGAUUUGUAAAGGUGAAUAGCUGGAUUAUUCCACUUCAAAACAGAGAGGUGUAUCUGGGAGCAACCAGACUUUAGGCCUUCCUG